rnacentral:rRNA from 1 species
GAGUUUGAUCAUGGCUCAGGACGAACGCUGGCGGCGUGCCUAACACAUGCAAGUCGAACGAGGCCAUCCUUUCGGGGAUGAGUCGAGUGGCGGACGGGUGAGUAACACGUAAGCAACCUGCCUGGAGUUGGGGGAUAACCUCGGGAAACCGGGGCUAAUACCGCAUGAGCUCAUCUGGCCGAGUGGCUGGGUGAGGAAAGGAGCUUUCGGGCUCUGGCUUCAGAGGGGCUCGCGGCGUAUCAGCUAGUUGGUGAGGUAACGGCUCACCAAGGCGACGACGCGUAGGGGGUCUGAGAGGAUGGCCCCCCACAUUGGGACUGAGAUACGGCCCAGACUCCUACGGGAGGCAGCAGUGGGGAAUCUUGCGCAAUGGCCGAAAGGCUGACGCAGCGACGCCGCGUGCGGGAGGAAGCCCUUCGGGGUGUAAACCGCUGUCAGGGGGGACGAAAGGCCACCGGGAGGCGAAUGCCCGAGUGGAAGGACGGUACCUCCAGAGGAAGCGACCGGCUAACUCCGUGCCAGCCGCCGCGGUAAC